rnacentral:rRNA from 1 species
GAUGAACGCUGGCGGCGUGCCUAAUACAUGCAAGUCGAGCGAACAGAUGAGGAGCUUGCUCCUCUGACGUUAGCGGCGGACGGGUGAGUAACACGUGGAUAACCGACCUAUAAGACUGGGAUAACUUCGGGAAACCGGAGCUAAUACCGGAUAAUAUAUUGAACCGCAUGGUUCAAUAGUGAAAGACGGUUUUGCUGUCACUUAUAGAUGGAUCCGCGCCGCAUUAGCUAGUUGGUAAGGUAACGGCUUACCAAGGCAACGAUGCGUAGCCGACCUGAGAGGGUGAUCGGCCACACUGGAACUGAGACACGGUCCAGACUCCUACGGGAGGCAGCAGUAGGGAAUCUUCCGCAAUGGGCGAAAGCCUGACGGAGCAACGCCGCGUGAGUGAUGAAGGUCUUCGGAUCGUAAAGCUCUGUUAUUAGGGAAGAACAAAUGUGUAAGUAACUAUGCACGUCUUGACGGUACCAAAUCAGAAAGCCACGGCUAACUACGUG